rnacentral:rRNA from 1 species
AAUAUUGGUCAAUGGACGAAAGUCUGAACCAGCCAUGCCGCGUGCAGGAUUGACUGCCCUAUGGGUUGUAAACUGCUUUUAUAUAGGAAGAAACCCUCCCACGUGUGGGAGGCUGACGGUACUAUAAGAAUAAGGACCGGCUAACUCCGUGCCAGCAGCCGCGGUAAUACGGAGGGUCCAAGCGUUAUCCGGAUUUAUUGGGUUUAAAGGGUGCGUAGGCGGAAUUGUAAGUCAGAGGUGAAAGCCCACAGCUUAACUGUGGAACUGCCUUUGAUACUGCUACUCUUGAGUUCAGAUGAGGUGGGCGGAAUGUGACAUGUAGCGGUGAAAUGCAUAGAUAUGUCACAGAACACCGAUUGCGAAGGCAGCUCACUAAACUGAUACUGACGCUGAGGCACGAAAGCGUGGGGAGCGAACAGGAUUAGAUACCCUGGUAGUCCACGCCGUA